rnacentral:rRNA from 2 species
UACCUGGGCUAGACGACGCUGGCGGCGUGCCUAAUACAUGCAAGUCCGAACGAACUCUGGUAUUGAUUGGUGCUUGCAUCAUGAUUUACAUUUGAGUGAGUGGCGAACUGGUGAGUAACACGUGGGAAACCUGCCCAGAAGCGGGGGAUAACACCUGGAAACAGAUGCUAAUACCGCAUAACAACUUGGACCGCAUGGUCCGAGCUUGAAAGAUGGCUUCGGCUAUCACUUUUGGAUGGUCCCGCGGCGUAUUAGCUAGAUGGUGGGGUAACGGCUCACCAUGGCAAUGAUACGUAGCCGACCUGAGAGGGUAAUCGGCCACAUUGGGACUGAGACACGGCCCAAACUCCUACGGGAGGCAGCAGUAGGGAAUCUUCCACAAUGGACGAAAGUCUGAUGGAGCAACGCCGCGUGAGUGAAGAAGGGUUUCGGCUCGUAAAACUCUGUUGUUAAAGAAGAACAUAUCUGAGAGUAACUGUUCAGGUAUUGACGGUAUUUAACCAGAAAGCCACGGCUAACUACGUGCCAGCAGCCGCGGUAAUACGUAGGUGGCAAGCGUUGUCCGGAUUUAUUGGGCGUAAAGCGAGCGCAGGCGGUUUUUUAAGUCUGAUGUGAAAGCCUUCGGCUCAACCGAAGAAGUGCAUCGGAAACUGGGAAACUUGAGUGCAGAAGAGGACAGUGGAACUCCAUGUGUAGCGGUGAAAUGCGUAGAUAUAUGGAAGAACACCAGUGGCGAAGGCGGCUGUCUGGUCUGUAACUGACGCUGAGGCUCGAAAGUAUGGGUAGCAAACAGGAUUAGAUACCCUGGUAGUCCAUACCGUAAACGAUGAAUGCUAAGUGUUGGAGGGUUUCCGCCCUUCAGUGCUGCAGCUAACGCAUUAAGCAUUCCGCCUGGGGGAGUACGGCCGCAAGGCUGAAACUCAAAGGAAUUGACGGGGGCCCGCACAAGCGGUGGAGCAUGUGGUUUAAUUCGAAGCUACGCGAAGAACCUUACCAGGUCUUGACAUACUAUGCAAAUCUAAGAGAUUAGACGUUCCCUUCGGGGACAUGGAUACAGGUGGUGCAUGGUUGUCGUCAGCUCGUGUCGUGAGAUGUUGGGUUAAGUCCCGCAACGAGCGCAACCCUUAUUAUCAGUUGCCAGCAUUAAGUUGGGCACUCUGGUGAGACUGCCGGUGACAAACCGGAGGAAGGUGGGGAUGACGUCAAAUCAUCAUGCCCCUUAUGACCUGGGCUACACACGUGCUACAAUGGAUGGUACAACGAGUUGCGAACUCGCGAGAGUAAGCUAAUCUCUUAAAGCCAUUCUCAGUUCGGAUUGUAGGCUGCAACUCGCCUACAUGAAGUCGGAAUCGCUAGUAAUCGCGGAUCAGCAUGCCGCGGUGAAUACGUUCCCGGGCCUUGUACACACCGCCCGUCACACCAUGAGAGUUUGUAACACCCAAAGUCGGUGGGGUAACCUUUUAGGAACCAGCCGCCUAAGGUGGGACAGAUGAUUAGGGUGAAGUCGACCG